AACGCGAAGAACCUUACCUGGGCUCGAAAUGUAGAGGACGGUAUCAGAGAUGAUACUUCUCGAAAGGGUCUUUACAUAGGUGCUGCAUGGCUGUCGUCAGCUCGUGCCGUGAGGUGUUUGGUUAAGUCCAGCAACGAGCGCAACCCUUAUCGUUAGUUGCCAACGCGUGAAGGCGGGAACUCUAACGAGACUGCCUGGGUUAACCAGGAGGAAGGUGAGGAUGACGUCAAGUCCGCAUGGCCUUUAUGUCCAGGGCUACACACGUGCUACAAUGGUCGGUACAGAAGGCGGCGAAACCGCAAGGCGGAGCAAAUCCUGAAAAACCGAUCUCAGUUCAGAUUGUAGACUGCAACUCGUCUACAUGAAGUUGGAAUUGCUAGUAAUGGCGUGUCAGCAACAACGCCGUGAAUACGUUCCCGGGCCUUGUA
rnacentral:rRNA from 1 species